ACGCUCGACACCUACGGGAGACAGCAGUUGGGAAUAUUGGACAAUGGAGGAAACUCUGAUCCAGUGACGCCGCGUGAAGGAAGAAGGUCUUCGGAUUGUAAACUUAUUUUGUCAGGGAAGAAAAAUGACUGUACCUGAAGAAAAAGCACCGGCUAACUACGUGCCAGCAGCCGCGGUAAUCUGAGCGGGCUGGCAAGGC
rnacentral:rRNA from 1 species